rnacentral:rRNA from 1 species
GAUGAACGCUGGCUACAGGCUUAACACAUGCAAGUCGAGGGGAAACGAUAGAGAAAGCUUGCUUUUUCUAGGCGUCGACCGGCGCACGGGUGAGUAACGCGUAUCCAACCUGCCCACCACUUGGGGAUAACCUUGCGAAAGUAAGACUAAUACCCAAUGACGUCUCUAGAAGACAUCUGAAAGAGAUUAAAGAUUUAUCGGUGAUGGAUGGGGAUGCGUCUGAUUAGCUUGUUGGCGGGGUAACGGCCCACCAAGGCGACGAUCAGUAGGGGUUCUGAGAGGAAGGUCCCCCACAUUGGAACUGAGACACGGUCCAAACUCCUACGGGAGGCAGCAGUGAGGAAUAUUGGUCAAUGGACGAGAGUCUGAACCAGCCAAGUAGCGUGCAGGAUGACGGCCCUAUGGGUUGUAAACUGAUUUUAUAAGGGAAUAAAGUGAGAGUCGUGACUCUUUUUGCAUGUACCUUAUGAAUAAGGACCGGCUAAUUCCGUGCCAGCCGCCGCGGUAA